rnacentral:rRNA from 1 species
GACGAACCGUGCGAACGUUGUUCGGAAUCACUGGGCUUAAAGGGCGCGUAGGCGGACCACCAAGUCCGGGGUGAAAUCCUUCGGCUUAACCGGAGAAUUGCCUGGGAUACUGGUGGUCUUGAGGGAGGUAGAGGCACGCGGAACUUCCGGUGGAGCGGUGAAAUGCGUUGAUAUCGGAAGGAACGCCGGUGGCGAAAGCGGCGUGCUGGCCCUCUUCUGACGCUGAGGCGCGAAAGCCAGGGGAGCGAACGGG